rfam:Soil-borne cereal mosaic virus RNA2 complete genome
GUCUAACAUGUCGGGCAGAGACACG